ACAAGGGCAUUUCAAGCACAUAGCAGGGAAAGGGUUUGGAGAGAGAAGUAAAGGAAGAGUGAGAGAGAGAUGAGAGAGAGAGAGGGCAGGAGAUUGUGGGCGAUAGGCUACAUCCACAACAGAAGAUGGAGAGGGAAAAGGUCAAACAUGGUUGGAGGACUGUAGCGGAUCUUGGUCGUAUUUCAGAGUCAUGGGGGGUGACAGAUUGACCAUAACCCUGGAAGAUGAUGUCCUUGGAGCUCUCCAUUACCAGAUGCAUCAUGCUGUUCUGUUGGGCCAAACAACCAGUGCUGGGCAUAAAACCAUGGUCAUGGCCAGUAGAUGAAAACACAGGGCAGAGGACGGUAUGGGGAAAUCUUUCUGACUCACAAAAAAGCAAAGAAUACGCAAAUCAGACAAAGAAAGGAAUCAUAUGCUGGUCUUUCUUACUCCUGCUGCCAUUUUUCUCUCCCUCUGUUCAGUCAAGGAAGUGGAUAUGAAUGAGACACUAUAUGUCUUUGCCCCCCACCC